rnacentral:tRNA from 1 species
CAUUCCACAUAGCUCAGUUGGUUAGAGCAUGGUGCUGAGAACACCAAGGUUGCAGGUUCAAUCCCCGUCUGGGAUGG